UACAGAGGUCCCAAGCGUUGUUCGGAUUCAUUGGGCGUAAAGCGCGCGUAGGCGGCUAUUUAAGUCGGAUGUGAAAGCCCUUGGCUCAACUGAGGAAGUGCACCCGAAACUGAAUGGCUUGAGUACCAAAGAGGGUCGCGGAAUUCCCGGUGUAGAGGUGAAAUUCGUAGAUAUCGGGAGGAACACCGGUGGCGAAGGCGGCGACCUGGGUGGAUACUGACGCUGAGGCGCGAAAGCGUGGGGAGCAAACAGG
rnacentral:rRNA from 1 species